rnacentral:rRNA from 1 species
GACGAACGCUGGCGGCGUGCUUAACACAUGCAAGUCGAACGGAAAGGCCCCCUUGUGGGGUACUCGAGUGGCGACCGGGUGAGUAACACGUGAGUAACCUACCCUUGACUUUGGGAUAACUUCAGGAAACUGGGGCUAAUACCGGCUAGGAGCUCCUGCUGCAUGGUGGGGGUUGGAAAGUUUCGGCGGUUGGGGAUGGACUCGCGGCUUAUCAGCUUGUUGGUGGGGUAGUGGCUCACCAAGGCUUUGACGGGUAGCCGGCCUGAGAGGGUGACCGGCCACAUUGGGACUGAGAUACGGCCCAGACUCCUACGGGAGGCAGCAGUGGGGAAUAUUGCACAAUGGGCGGAAGCCUGAUGCAGCAACGCCGCGUGCGGGAUGACGGCCUUCGGGUUGUAAACCGCUUUCGCCUGUGACGAAGCGUGAGUGACGGUAAUGGGUAAAGAAGCACCGGCUAACUACGUG